rnacentral:misc_RNA from 1 species
CCGAGUUUACAACUCCCAAACCCCUGUGAACAUACCUUUAUGUUGCCUCGGCGGAUCAGCCCGCGCCCCGUAAAACGGGACGGCCCGCCGCAGGAAACCCUAAACUCUGUUUUUAGUGGAACUUCUGAGUAUAAAAAACAAGGUAAAUCA